rnacentral:rRNA from 1 species
AGCGAACGCUGGCGGCAGGCUUAACACAUGCAAGUCGAGCGGGCGUAGCAAUACGUCAGCGGCAGACGGGUGAGUAACGCGUGGGAACGUACCUUUGGUCGGAACAACACAGGGAAACUUGUGCUAAUACCGGAUAAGCCCUUACGGGGAAAGAUUUAUCGCCGAAAGAUCGGCCCGCGUCUGAUUAGCUAGUUGGUGAGGUAACGGCUCACCAAGGCGACGAUCAGUAGCUGGCUGAGAGGAUGAUCAGCCACAUUGGGACUGAGACACGGCCCAAACUCCUACGGGAGGCAGCAGUGGGGAAUAUUGGACAAUGGGCGCAAGCCUGAUCCAGCCAUGCCGCGUGAGUGAUGAAGGCCCUAGGGUUGUAAAGCUCUUUUGUGCGGGGAAGAUAAUGACGGUACGCAAGAAUAAGCCCCGGCUAACUUCGUGCCAGCCGCCGCCGUAAU